rnacentral:rRNA from 1 species
UGGUGGAGUGAUUUGUCUGCUUAAUUGCGAUAACGAACGAGACCUUGGCCUGCUAAAUAGCAGUACAAAUCUUCUGGAUAGGUGAAGCUGUGUGGCAGGGUCUCCCUAGGGAAACCUAGGGAAGCCCCUACGCAGUGGAUCCUUGAAGCAUUUGUGAGUAGCUUCUUAGAGGAACAACUUACUUCAAGUGAGGGGAAGAUCAAGGCAAUAACA